UAGGCACCUAACUCACUCUCUGUGGAUUGCUGUAUUGCGCCAGUGACUUUCUAGGUGCCUAAAAGUUAGCUGUUGCAGUGCUCAGUAUUACAAAGCCUAAAGUCCCCUUAUGGAGCCAGGCCAAAGUAUAUUACAAAGAUACACACUUGUUUUGGAUACACAUUUGAUGGACACACACUUGAUGGAGCAGUGACUACCCCUUCUGCAAAGAAGGACUGACUGUGCCUCGCUCUGGGGCCUUAACAUGCUCUGUGCAUAGGCCUAAACAGUAGACCAUAAUUCCCGCUCUAUGAGAACACUUGUGGCACAGUAGUUUUUUCUGUUACCCUCACCUCUCUCCUGCUCUGCCGUUUCCAGUUUCCCUUGCACAGCUCACCUCACAGGAAAAAAAAAACACACUUGGAAAUUCCUUUACAUGAUCCUCUCCUGGAGACAGCAGGAGGCAUCUACACGUAUUGAUUCCAUUGGAUUCAGUGGAAUUGUAGUUAUUUUACACAGGUAUAACUGAGCUCAGAAUCUGAACCACUGCCUGCAGCAGGACU